GCCCCCAGGUGACUUCUGCAAGCUCCCUCAUGUACCUCCCACAAAGCAUAGUCGGCCGCAGAAGGUCAGAGACAUUUUAAAAGGGGAAAAGAGUAUGACCUCUUAUAUAGCUUGCCUUCAUAAAGAAUAUAUCGGGAGGCCUAGUUUCUAAGCUUCCAAGCUUCGUUUGCAUCAGGAGGAAGAACCCAUCCUUGAGGUAUGCAACCAGUGGGUCAAUCCAGUUGGG
rnacentral:lncRNA from 1 species